rnacentral:lncRNA from 1 species
AUUAAAAGAAUCAAAGUUUUAAUUCACCUUUAACUCAUAAUUUAAAAUUUAAUUUUGAUCCACUUUAAUUAAAAUUUUUCUUUAUUAAUUCUAAUUUUAUAAGCAAAACUAAAUUUAAUUUAUGAUAAAGUCAAAUUUUAAUUUUAAUCUAAAAUUCAUAAAUUUAAGUUUAAGUCGUAUAAUUAAAAUUUAAUUUUAAAUUUAAGAUGAAAUAAAAAUUUAAGAUCAAAUAAUAUUAAAAUCUAAAUAUAUAUUUGAUAUUAAACUCAAAUUUGAUUGUCGAUUAUAAUUAAUAAAAAGUUAAUAUAACAACUAAAUAUUAGUAAAUAAUAUUGAGAUAAUCUAAAAAUAUUUACCUAAAAAGAAAAGAUAUAGAAUAAUAUAAAAUAUUUAAUUAAAAAAAUUAUUCGCACCGACCGUUCCUAGGCAUGUGACAAAGUAUUUGGUGAUUGAGAUCGGAAGUCCAAAAUUCAAAUUCUUGUUGAUUCACAUUUUCAACUAAAUUUAUUUUUUUAAAAAAUAGCAUGCUAUCAAAAAUAUUUUCCACCAAAAAGUGAGUUUGUUCAUUUCUUUGUUAGUUAAUUCGCGAAUUAUUGAAAAUCCGAAUUGAACGGUCUGUCUAUGAAUUUUUUCCAAAGAAAAUGAAUUAUUCGCGAAUUAUUCCCAAAUUAUUAAAAAUCUAAAUAAAAAAAUAUAAUUUUUUUAUUUAAAUAUAGAUCUUAUAUUUUAUAUCAUAUAUUUUAUAUUUUAUACCGAAUUCGUUUUUUAAGCCGAAUUUUUCAACAAAUUUAAAAAUUAGAAAAUAAAUUUUAUAUGUAUUAUACCCGUAUUGAAUUUUUGUCGAAUUCGAGAGGGUAUCAACUACCAAGUCCUUUGCCACUUGCACUAGGGACGGUCGGUUUUAGUGCUGGUAAUUUUAUGCACUAAAUAUGAUGGAUUCUUCA